GGUCCGGAGCCGGAGCGAAAGCGAGUCCGAACAGGGCGUAAAGUCGCCGGAGGCAGACGCGAAACCGAGUGAUCUACGCAUGGGCAGGAUGAAGACGUGGUAACACACGUUGGAGGUCCGAACCGGUAAGCGUUGAAAAGCUUUCGGAUGACCUGUGCGUAGGAGUGAAAGGCCAAUCAAACUCGGAGAUAGCUCGUACUCCCCGAAAUGCAUUUAG
rnacentral:rRNA from 1 species